AGUCGAGCGAACAGAUAAGGAGCUUGCUCCUUUGACGUUAGCGGCGGACGGGUGAGUAACACGUGGGUAACCUACCUAUAAGACUGGGAUAACUUCGGGAAACCGGAGCUAAUACCGGAUAACAUUUGGAACCGCAUGGUUCUAAAGUGAAAGAUGGUUUUGCUAUCACUUAUAGAUGGACCCGCGCCGUAUUAGCUAGUUGGUAAGGUAACGGCUUACCAAGGCGACGAUACGUAGCCGACCUGAGAGGGUGAUCGGCCACACUGGAACUGAGACACGGUCCAGACUCCUACGGGAGGCAGCAGUAGGGAAUCUUCCGCAAUGGGCGAAAGCCUGACGGAGCAACGCCGCGUGAGUGAUGAAGGGUUUCGGCUCGUAAAACUCUGUUAUUAGGGAAGAACAAAUGUGUAAGUAACURUGCACAUCUUGACGGUACCUAAUCAGAAAGCCACGGCUAACUACGUGCCAGCAGCCGCGGUAAUACGUAGGUGGCAAGCGUUAUCCGGAAUUAUUGGGCGUAAAGCGCGCGUAGGCGGUUUCUUAAGUCUGAUGUGAAAGCCCACGGCUCAACCGUGGAGGGUCAUUGGAAACUGGGAAACUUGAGUGCAGAAGAGGAAAGUGGAAUUCCAUGUGUAGCGGUGAAAUGCGCAGAGAUAUGGAGGAACACCAGUGGCGAAGGCGACUUUCUGGUCUGUAACUGACGCUGAUGUGCGAAAGCGUGGGGAUCAAACAGGAUUAGAUACCCUGGUAGUCCACGCCGUAAACGAUGAGUGCUAAGUGUUAGGGGGUUUCCGCCCCUUAGUGCUGCAGCUAACGCAUUAAGCACUCCGCCUGGGGAGUACGACCGCAAGGUUGAAACUCAAAGGAAUUG
rnacentral:rRNA from 1 species